rnacentral:rRNA from 1 species
AGGGUUUGAUUCUGGCUCAGGAUGAACGCUAGCUACAGGCUUAACACAUGCAAGUCGAGGGGCAGCAUUCCAGUUUGCUUGCAAACUGGAGAUGGCGACCGGCGCACGGGUGAGUAACACGUAUCCAACCUGCCGAUAACUCGGGGAUAGCCUUUCGAAAGAAAGAUUAAUACCCGAUGGCAUAAUAGAACCGCAUGGUUUGAUUAUUAAAGAAUUUCGGUUAUCGAUGGGGAUGCGUUCCAUUAGGCAGUUGGUGGGGUAACGGCCCACCAAACCUUCGAUGGAUAGGGGUUCUGAGAGGAAGGUCCCCCACAUUGGAACUGAGACACGGUCCAA